rnacentral:misc_RNA from 1 species
GGGAAAAACUAUUGGAUUAGCGAAAUGAAGGAGGUUUUGGAGAAGUGUGUGGAUUCACAGCUAUGGCACGCCUGUGCAGGAGGAAUGGUGCAAAUCCCUCCGGUUAACUCCAAAGUCUACUAUUUUCCACAAGGGCAUGCUGAGCAUACUCUUAUGAAUGUGGAUUUCUCAGCUCUACCAAGAAGUCCUGCUCUGAUUCUAUGCAGAGUAGCUGCUGUGAAGUUCUUAGCGGACCCUGAAACAGAUGAGGUUUAUGCUAAGAUUAGGGUUGUCCCAGUUGGGAA